GACGAACGCUGGCGGCGUGCUUAACACAUGCAAGUCGAACGGAAAGGCCUCUUUCGGGGGGUACUCGAGUGGCGAACGGGUGAGUAACACGUGAGUAACCUGCCCUUGACUUUGGGAUAACUUCAGGAAACUGGGGCUAAUACCGGAUAGGAGCUCCUGCUGCAUGGUGGGGGUUGGAAAGUUUCGGCGGUUGGGGAUGGACUCGCGGCUUAUCAGCUUGUUGGUGGGGUAGUGGCUUACCAAGGCUUUGACGGGUAGCCGGCCUGGGAGGGUGACCGGCCACAUUGGGACUGAGAUACGGCCCAGACUCCUACGGGAGGCAGCAGUGGGGAAUAUUGCACAAUGGGUGGAAGCCUGAUGCAGCAACGCCGUGUGGGGGAUGACGGGCUUCGGGUUGUAAACCGCUUUCGCUCAUGACGAAGCUUUGUGUGACGGUAGUGGGUAAAGAAGCACCGGCUAACUACGUG
rnacentral:rRNA from 1 species